rnacentral:rRNA from 1 species
GUGAAUUCUCAUACCAUACUGAGAGUACCAUUUCUUCUCCGAGUACUGAAGUCAAGCAGAAUGGGGCCAGAUACUUGGGAGGGUGACCACGUAGGAAAUCGCGAUGGGAUAGUGG